GUCGAACGGAGUUAUCAUUUUUGAAGCGAUUAGCUUGCUAAGAGUGGAACAUUUGAUAACUUAGUGGCGGACGGGUGAGUAACGCGUGGGUAACCUGCCUUACACAGGGGGAUAACACUUAGAAAUAGGUGCUAAUACCGCAUAAGCGCACAGUCCCGCAUGGGACAGAGUGAAAAACAUUAGUGGUGUAAGAUGGACCCGCGUCUGAUUAGCUGGUUGGCGGGGUAACGGCCCACCAAGGCGACGAUCAGUAGCCGGCCUGAGAGGGUGGACGGCCACAUUGGGACUGAGACACGGCCCAAACUCCUACGGGAGGCAGCAGUGGGGGAUAUUGGACAAUGGGGGAAACCCUGAUCCAGCGACGCCGCGUGAGUGAAGAAGUAUUUCGGUAUGUAAAGCUCUAUCAGCAGGGAAGAAAGAAAUGACGGUACCUGAGUAAGAAGCCCCGGCUAACUACGUGCCAGCAGCCGCGGUAAUACGUAGGGGGCAAGCGUUAUCCGGAAUUACUGGGUGUAAAGGGAGCGUAGACGGUAAUGCAAGUCUGGAGUGAAAGGCGGGGGCCCAACCCCCGGACUGCUCUGGAAACUGUGUAACUGGAGUGCAGGAGAGGCAGGCGGAAUUCCUAGUGUAGCGGUGAAAUGCGUAGAUAUUAGGAGGAACACCAGUGGCGAAGGCGGCCUGCUGGACUGUAACUGACGUUGAGGCUCGAAAGCGUGGGGAGCAAACAGGAUUAGAUACCCUGGUAGUCCACGCCGUAAACGAUGAUUACUAGGUGUGGGUGGGUAUGGACCCAUCGGUGCCGCAGCAAACGCAGUAAGUAAUCCACCUGGGGAGUACGUUCGCAAGAAUGAAACUCAAAGGAAUUGACGGGGACCCGCGCAAG
rnacentral:rRNA from 1 species